rnacentral:rRNA from 1 species
AAGUCGUAACAAGGUUUCCGUAGGUGAACCUGCGGAAGGAUCAUUAUCGAGAUAGGGUCUCCGAGCCCGAACCUCCCAUCCCGUGUCCACUACACCUGUUGCUUUGGCGGGCCCGUGGGCUCGUCCCCACCGACGGCUCCGGCCGACCAGUGCCCGCCAGAGUCCCACCAAACUCCGAUCAACCGUGACGUCCGAGUUACCACAUAUCAAUAAUCAAAACUUUCAACAACGGAUCUCUUGGUUCUGGCAUCGAUGAAGAACGCAGCGAAAUGCGAUAAGUAAUGUGAAUUGCAGAAUUCAGUGAAUCAUCGAAUCUUUGAACGCACAUUGCGCCCCCUGGCAUUCCGGGGGGCAUGCCUGUUCGAGCGUCAUUACGCCUCUCAAGCUCUGCUUGGUCUUGGGUCCACGUUCGUCUCCGAACCGACCCCAAAAUCAGUGGCGGUGCGGCCCGGCUUCAAGCGCAGUAAUCUUCAUCCGCUUUGGAAGUCCCGGGCCGUGGUGGCCAGACAACCACGAAACCCUUUCUCAGGUUGACCUCGGAUCAGGUAGGGAUACCCGCUGAACUUAA